UACGGGGGGGGCGAGCGUUAUUCGGAAUUAUUGGGCGUAAAGGGCGCGUAGGCGGCCCGGUAAGUCAAAGGUGAAAUCCCUCGGCUCAACUGAGGAACUGCCUUUGAAACUGUCGGGCUUGAGGCCGGGAGGGGGUAGCGGAAUUCCCAGUGUAGCGGUGAAAUGCGUAGAUAUUGGGAGGAACACCAGUGGCGAAGGCGGCUACCUGGACCGGUUCUGACGCUGAUGCGCGAAAGCGUGGGGAGCGAUCCGG
rnacentral:rRNA from 1 species